rnacentral:lncRNA from 10 species
UUUUCAUAUGUGAGGAAUAAGUAUAUGAUGCCUUUCUCCUUUAAAGUAUGAACUGCUAAAAGACAGGGAUAACGUGUAUUCUGUAUUCCAGCAGCCACAGUGUGUUUCUGGUCUUUGUACCAGGUGCUCAGGAAGUGUUUUCACUGGCUUGGGUUGACUACUUGCCAUCUGCUCUCUGAGCAUUCAUUUCUGAAUGAAAGGGGAGAAAGUGAAAGGAGAGGUGGGAAGAAAGAGGAAGCUGCAGAAAUACGAGGAAACAGCUGGAGGAGGGAGGUGAAGUUGAGGAGGAAUUCUGGUCUUCCCUCAGGCCUAGCAGAGAGCUUUCUGCCACUACUCAGGCAACCAAGGGUGAAGUGCUUCAAGUAGUAUUUGUGGACAGCAGCAGGUAAGCUUGAUGUGUUAUUCACAGCUUAAAGAGUAGAUGCUGAGUACAGCUGUUGUCCAUGUGUAGAGCUUUUAAUAACCAGCGCAGCAGGCCCCUUCACCUGCUUUUAUGCCUGGACCAGAU